rnacentral:rRNA from 1 species
UACGAAGGGGGCUAGCGUUGCUCGGAAUGACUGGGCGUAAAGGGCGCGUAGGCGGUUCAUACAGUCAGAUGUGAAAUUCCCGGGCUUAACCUGGGGGCUGCAUUUGAUACGUUGUGGGCUUGAGUGAGGAAGAGGGUUGUGGAAUUCCCAGUGUAGAGGUGAAAUUCGUAGAUAUCGGGAGGAACACCAGUGGCGAAGGCGGCGACCUGGACGGACACUGACGCUGAGACGCGAAAGCGUGGGGAGCAAACAGG